rnacentral:rRNA from 1 species
UACGAAGGGGGCUAGCGUUGCUCGGAAUCACUGGGCGUAAAGGGCGCGUAGGCGGCGUUUUAAGUCGGGGGUGAGAGCCUGUGGCUCAACCACAGAAUGGCCUUCGAUACUGGGACGCUUGAGUAUGGUAGAGGUUGGUGGAACUGCGAGUGUAGAGGUGAAAUUCGUAGAUAUUCGCAAGAACACCGGUGGCGAAGGCGGCCAACUGGACCAUUACUGACGCUGAGGCGCGAAAGCGUGGGGAGCAAACAGG